rnacentral:rRNA from 1 species
AUGGCUUCUCUUACUAUGCUGACCUGCUGGACCAUCUGAUGCAAGAGAAAUGCACGGGUUUUCCGUCACAAGUCCAUGCUUCUGUCCUUGUUGCUAUCGAAGAUUCAGAGUGACACCAACCUGUGGGUUAUUGCGGGCGCAAAGCGCUUGGGCCAGAUCAUGCCGGGAGAGCAGUGGCCAUGUAAUUUUUCCUUUCGCUUUUCGUGUAAAAGCAACUCUAAACUCCUUAAUUAA